UCUAAUGGCUAUGCCAUCCUGAACAAGCCCAAUCCCGUUUGACUUCAGAAGCUAAGCAGCCUUGGGCCUGGUUAGUACUUGGAUGGGAGACUACCUAGGAAGACCAAGUGCUGUAGGCG
rnacentral:rRNA from 1 species